GUUCAUAUCGACGGCGGUGUUUGGCACCUCGAUGUCGGCUCAUCACAUCCUGGGGCUGAAGUAGGUCCCAAGGGUAUGGCUGUUCGCCAUUUAAAGUGGUACGCGAGCUGGGUUUAGAACGUCGUGAGACAGUUCGGUCCCUAUCUGCCGUGGGCGCUGGAGAAUUGAGGGGGGCUGCUCCUAGUACGAGAGGACCGGAGUGGACGCAUCACUGGUGUUCGGGUUGUCAUGCCAAUGGCACUGCCCGGUAGCUAAAUGCGGAAGAGAUAAGUGCUGAAAGCAUCUAAGCACGAAACUUGCCCCGAGAUGAGUUCUCCCUGACUCCUUGAGAGUCCUGAAGGAACGUUGAAGACGACGACGUUGAUAGGCCGGGUGUGUAAGCGCAGCGAUGCGUUGAGCUAACCGGUACUAAUGAACCGUGAGGCUUAACCUUACAACGCCGAAG
rnacentral:rRNA from 1 species